GCCGGGGUAGGGUAGUCGGUCAUCCUAGGGGAUUGUGGAUCCCCCGACCCGGGUUCAAAUCUCGGCCCCGGCC
rnacentral:tRNA from 1 species